rnacentral:rRNA from 1 species
CCCUUAGAUGUUCUGGGCUGCACGCGCGCUACACUGUCGGAUUCAGCGAGUCAUAUCCUUAACCGAAAGGUUUGGGUAAUCUUUUGAAAGUCCGACGUGAUGGGGAUUGAUCAUUGCAAUUAUUGAUCAUGAACGAGGAAUUCCUAGUAAGCGCGAGUCAUCAGCUCGCGUUGAUUACGUCCCUGCCCUUUGUACACACCGCCCGUCGCUACUACCGAUUGAAUGGUUUAGUGAGAUCUUCGGGUUGGCGCCUACGCGGCUUCUCUGAGGCCACGCUGGAUGCCGAAAAGUUGCUCAAACUGUAUCAUUUAGAGGAAGUAAAAGUCGUAACA